rnacentral:rRNA from 1 species
AUGGCGUCUUCAUCCUCUGCGGCGCCUUCCCUCUUUUCCAACCAAGUUUCCGAAAAACUCACCAGAGAGAACUUCCUCCUAUGGAAGGCACAAGUCCUUCCUCAAAUUCGUGGCCCUGGCCUUUAUGGCUACCUUGAUGGCAGCAAGCCUGCUCCCGAGCCUACCAUCUCCUCCACCGUCAAAGAUGGAAAAACGGUGACUGUGCCGAAUCCUCUCCACACCGCAUGGGUAGGGAUCGAUCAGCAGAUCCUUUCCUAUCUUCUCAAUUCCCUCUCAAAGGAGGUUCUCAUCCAUGUCCUUCAUCUCGAGACCUCUGAAGCCGUGUGGAGCGCCCUCACCACCAUGUUCGCAUCACACUCCCGAUCUCGCAUCAACAACCUCCGCAUAUCCCUCUCCAAUGCCCAGAAGGGCAAUCAAUCUGUC